rnacentral:rRNA from 1 species
AAAACUUUCAACAACGGAUCUCUUGGUUCUGGCAUCGAUGAAGAACGCAGCGAAAUGCGAUAAGUAAUGUGAAUUGCAGAAUUCAGUGAAUCAUCGAAUCUUUGAACGCACAUUGCGCCCCUUGGUAUUCCGGGGGGCAUGCCUGUUCGAGCGUCACU